rnacentral:rRNA from 1 species
UACGUAGGGUGCAAGCGUUAAUCGGAAUUACUGGGCGUAAAGCGUGCGCAGGCGGUUUUGCAAGCCGGAUGUGAAAUCCCCGGGCUUAACCUGGGAAUGGCAUUUGGGACUGCAAGGCUGGAGUGCGGCAGAGGAGACUGGAAUUCCUGGUGUAGCAGUGAAAUGCGUAGAUAUCAGGAGGAACACCGAUGGCGAAGGCAGGUCUCUGGGCUGACACUGACGCUCAUGCACGAAAGCGUGGGGAGCAAACAGG